GAACGUCGUGAGACAGUUCGGUCCAUAUCCGGUGUAGGCGUUAGAGUAUUGCGAGGAUCUCUUCUUAGUACGAGAGGACCGGAAGAGACGUACCUCUGGUGUGCCAGUUAUCGUGCCAACGGUAGACGCUGGGUAGCCAUGUACGGUUAGGAUAACCGCUGAAAGCAUCUAAGUGGGAAGCCAGCCUCAAGAUGAGUACUCUU
rnacentral:rRNA from 1 species